rnacentral:snoRNA from 1 species
AAGACUGUAUUUUCAGGGAUAGUUUCUCUAGCUCAUUGCUAGAGAAGUUUCUCUGAGUAUGUAGAGCCCUGGAAACCAAGAGGAUGAGGUACAGCUUCUCUCCUUGGCGUGAAGCCGGCUCUUGGGGUCGCUUUGCUGCAAACACCAUUUGCAGGGAUGAUCAGUUUUCUCUCCCUUUGCUUCCUCUCUACCCAUGUGAUCUCUGCACACAUCAGCACCCCUGCCCUUCUGUACCUUCUGCUAAUGUGGAAGCAGUUUGAGG